GGUCUAGGUGGUGGUAAUGGAGGUGGCAUUGCUACCAAGGUCGUAUGCCUGACAGAGGUGGUUACUGCAGAUGAGCUUAAAGAUGAUGAAGAGUAUGAAGAUAUUUUGGAAGAUAUGAGGGUAGAAGGUGGAAAAUUUGGUACAUUGAUGAAUAUUGUCAUCCCCCGUCCACAACCUAACGGUGAACCCUCUCUAGGACUUGGAAAGGUUAGUUUCAGUGUAAGGCUUUCGUUGAGAACUACGACACUUCAUGUCUAAGCCAGUGCCUCUACGGUAUCAUCUACCACUAUGUUUCUCAU